rnacentral:rRNA from 1 species
GUGGGGAAUCUUGCGCAAUGGGCGAAAGCCUGACGCAGCCAUGCCGCGUGAAUGAUGAAGGUCUUAGGAUUGUAAAAUUCUUUCACCGGGGACGAUAAUGACGGUACCCGGAGAAGAAGCUCCGGCUAACUUCGUGCCAGCAGCCGCGGUAAUACGAAGGGGGCUAGCGUUGCUCGGAAUUACUGGGCGUAAAGGGCGCGUAGGCGGACAGCUUAGUCAGAGGUGAAAGCCCAGGGCUCAACCUUGGAAUUGCCUUUGAUACUGGCUGUCUUGAGUUUGGGAGAGGUGGGUGGAACUCCGAGUGUAGAGGUGAAAUUCGUAGAUAUUCGGAAGAACACCAGUGGCGAAGGCGACUCACUGGCCCAAUACUGACGCUGAGGCGCGAAAGCGUGGGGAGCAAACAGGAUUAGAAACCCGAGUAGUCC